rnacentral:rRNA from 1 species
CAGUAGCCGCGGGAAUACAGAGGGUGCGAGUGUUAAUCGGAUUUACUGGGCGUAAAGCGUGCGUAGGCGGCUUCUUAAGUCGGAUGUGAAAUCCCUGAGCUUAACUUAGGAAUUGCAUUCGAUACUGGGAAGCUAGAGUAUGGGAGAGGAUGGUAGAAUUCCAGGUGUAGCGGUGAAAUGCGUAGAGAUCUGGAGGAAUACCGAUGGCGAAGGCAGCCAUCUGGCCUAAUACUGACGCUGAGGUACGAAAGCAUGGGGAGCAAACAGGAUUAGAUACCCCCGUAGUCCCUGUCUCUUAUAC